AUGAAUUAUAUCAUAUCGAACCAUGAAAUUACCUAUCACGAAUCUCCAAUAUUGAUAGUGUUAACUCAUAAAUAUGAACUUAUUACGGUUAACUCUUAGUAUGAGCCUAAAGUGGCUAUGCAUAAUUAUGAGCUUAAAAAGGGAAAACCACGAGCAUGAGCCUUAAAAGGCUAAAAUAUGAACAUGAAAGUAACAAGACAAACUUUUUGAUCAAUAACUAAUCAGAUAAACAAGACAACGUCAUGAGCAUAAGAGAGUUAGUUAGCUGACCGUGAAGGCAUAGGUUGAAAUGGCUAAUGCCCAAAACUAUGUUUGCCGACAUAGGAUAGAGAUCAUUCCGCAAGUCGGAUACUCUCUUUUCUUUCAUGUGUCCCGAAAAGUGGCUAACCAUGGAUACUUGCUAGCAAAUUAUGUCAUGUCACAUCCUAUGCCCGGCAAGGUAUUGGAUGGCUUAGCUGAUCGGGCCGAGAUCAGACUCCAUGCGCUCACAUGGUGGUUUAUAAUGGUUCACUACUUUCUGCACAAAUAAUCAAAGGAAUUAAGCCCACUUUACUUGGUCAAUUAUAAAUUUACCUUAUAUUGUUGUUCCUUUCCAUUUGACUUCUUUUACGUUUGAAUUUUAUUGUCAUUUCUAACCUCUUGAUGUACUACCCUCCUGAAAUGGUUUUGCAUACCAAUACAUUCCAUGUAUUAACCGUCUUUGGCGCUAUAUAAUUUCAUGACGUAGGUUCUGGCUCUCAUGUCCGUGGUCAGGUGCCCCAUUAGGACCUCUAUCUUUUGCUAUUGGUGAGCCUCUUUCCUAUCAGGAGGUUAGACGGGAUAUGAUGACUUCAUUAUAUUUUCUUUCCUUUUUGUAUUGGUACUAUUUAAAGGCUUCACAGACUGAUUUAGUUGCCUAGCAGAUCUUGUAAUUUUUAGUAUUAUUUGUCAUGACUAUUGUAUCUUCAAACGUUGAGUGAGACUUUAUCCCUUAAGAACUCCUAUUUCUGUUUCCUCUCUAUUCAUUAUGUCAUUUGUAUGCUCAUGUGCUUUGCCAAAACAUUCGCUCGUACUAGAAAUAGUAUCGGGUGCAUGUCCCGUCCAGGACCUCGGCUUGGGGCAUGACAAACUUGGUAUCAGAGCCCAGAGUUCAAGUGUCCUAGGGUGUCUGUGAUGCCGUGUUUAGUAGUAUCCAUUUUAUGGGUGUGAAGCGCACCACACUUGUAACGGGGGAGCCUACGAGACAUUUAGGAUACAUUUCCCCUUCUUUCAUACUCUAGAUCGUGUAAAGAUAUGUUCUUAAAAAUCUUACUCAGAUUCAUGUGUUACUCAAAUUUCUCUGUCUAUGCCUCAUCUUCGAGGCGAUUCAUAUCUUUAUGGUGCUCUUAGAUACAUCUACAAAAAAUCCCGGGACUUCACCUGGCUAGAGGGGAGCCCACUAUUGUGUUUAAGUUCUUCAUUUUGAAAGAAUGUACUUUUGUUCAUAUGAAUCAUGCAUUUAAUCCUAUAGUAAUAUGUUCUGUCACUCUCGUACCUUGUUACCAAUUACACUUUUAAAUGAGAAAGUAUGCAUCCCAAUUCUUGAGGAGUGUUUUCAUCCAAAAUAUAAUGUGAUUUAGGGUGUUGUGGGUCGUAAAUUCUAGAAUGACUGUAGGGCUAGAAAUAUGAAGUCAUAAGUUAAAUGCCAAAAAGUGGGAAUAGUGAUUGAUUGGAGUAUGUUGCUAAGGUCAUGUAUCCAGUAGUAGAGUAAUGUGGUGGAAUGAUAUGCCCUUUGAUGAUUGAGGAAGGUGUAGCAAGAAUUGUGAAAAAUGUUUUCGUAUUAAAUUGAGCAAUAAUGGUGGAUUAAGGUGAUUUAGAGUAAGUUUGAACUAGGAAAGAAGUUUAUGAUGGCAUGCCAUUAUGUUAAAAAAGUUCAAGAAUAAGUUGCGAAUGGGAGGAUAGAGUGGUUAAGAGUUGACAGACCUAGGCUGCACAUUGUGAUUUUGAAAAAGGAACUCUCUAUUUUACGGAGUAAUGAUUGUAAUUUAGGCAGGUAAUGGAUAAGUAGUUGUAGUGUUAAAGGAGAAUGCACUUGUAAUCUGCAAUUAGGCCGAUCAAGAAAUUAAGAUCGAUUGUUUUGUCACGUACUUUCAAUGGACUAGUAUUCGUUUUAUUUUUUUUAUAGCUAUGAAUCUGUGUAGUAUGUGAGAAGUUGUGUUGUUGUCCAUGACUAGUAAUAGACGCUAUGUUGGAGUUGUGAAUGAUUGUCGUGCUGGAACAAAUGGUAGUUCGGGGGCGAUAAUGCUAGUUUUAUGGAAUUCAUCUACUAGUCUUAGCAUUUAUGAUGAUUAGCUUGCAAAAAGUGUUUAUGAUGACUAGUUUGACAAAAGUGUGAAGUUUCAAUUAUGAUAUAUAUGUGACCCCUAGGUGAGAUAGUAAAUUGUUGCGAAGCCAAAAAAAAAAAAGGGUCCUUAAGGUUUAUUAAGAAAAUAGUGCACACAAGUAGUAUGUUAUUACAUGAGAUUCUGAGGAUAGGUAUGUAUUAUAUGGUGCCCCUGAGGGCUGAAUUAAAGGGACUAUAGAUAGACGAUGUUGAAGUCCCUUAGCGUAGUUUUAAUCCCAUUGAGUUGGGUGAACAUGAAUUUAGAGACGUGAUUCUAAUAGACUAAUAAGAGAGAGCCAAAUUGGUAUGUGUCGAAGUGAUUAUAUACAUCAAUAGGAGAAAGAGUUAUAGAAUGAUGACCGUAGAGGAAAGAUAAAGUUUAAGGGAAGUAGCUUAAACAAAGGGUUCUAGCAUCGGUUUUCUAUCUACAAAUAUAGUCUAACAGGGAAAGUUUAAGCAUUCUUGUGUAUAGUAAUACCCCAAUUGUGCAGAGUGUUGUGCUUACAUCUCAAAUAAGAAGAUAGGUCCGUACCUAGAAUAUUGAUCUUUGAGCUAAGGAGGAGAUGAGAAGGUGUUGAACCAAUCUGGGUCUUGAGCUUCAGGGAGUGAUGUCCCAAAAACAGAAAAGAUGAGACACAUCUAUCCAUUCCUAUAUCAACAUGUUCCUUGUACUUCAAUCAAAAUGACACUCUGCUCCUGUCUUGCAUACUAGCAUCAUUCCCUUGACUGAGGUUUAUGCUCUUCAUACUGAUUCACAUCCAUACUCUGUUCCUAGAAUGAAAGUAAUAGCUUCACUCAAUGUUACCAGACUUACUCCAUGAAUCCAUGAAUUCCAGUAUACCCAGCCCUAUGAACUCACACUUAAUGAUAAAUUUCGAACUCAUGUUAUGUCAUUAUCUAUGUCUUGGAUAACUAUCCAGUCGUGCUUUAUGUAAUUAGUAUAUGAAUUAUCCGUGCCUAAUAUGUACCACGAGGUUAGUCUUGAACAUAAUAGGGAAACAACAUGUUAAUAGACGCAGACUCCAGUAAUAUAUUAAUAUGGAUAUUAUAAGUUGACAAUGAUGGUGUGUGGUAUUCAGAGGAGAAAACAUAGUGAGAAGUGUUGCUAAGCUUAAAGGUUAUCAGUCAUAUCGUCUAUGGAGAAAAUACUCCUCCAACUAUGUUCAACACAUCCUUCAUUCUUGUCAUGUAACUUUAGAUUGUGUGGAAUCUACAUUUAAGCCACGCUACUAUAUAGUUCUGCCUGUAUAUGUGUCUUUCGAUUCUACAAACUCGUGCUUCAUGUCCUUAGUGUGAUAAUUCUUGUAUUUAUAACUCGUGCUUCGGAAUUCCCCGGUAGUUGGUUGUCAAACCCUUUUCAUUAUUACAGCUCAGUCAUAUUGAAGAGUACAGUCUAGCAGACGAUUGUAAAUAGUUUCAACUCAUGAACUUUCUUCUAGCCAAGACCUUCAUUCGAGGACGAAUGACCCGAAGGGGGAGAUAUUGUAACAUCUCAGGCCAAUUGUUGUGUGAGGUAUUUCAAGGGUAAUUUUAUCUUUUCGUUUUGCAAUUUAUUUCAUGAAAUUAAACCCCUCUGAAGUUAUCAGUUACAAGAGUUAUUUCUCUCAAUGGAACAUUAAUUUAUCUCAGCCAGAUACACCUCUCUACUUCCAGUAGUUACAUGCUUUAAACCAGUCACUCUAUUUUCCACCGUUUCAUACAAUAAAAAGCCUCACUUCUCCAUCAGUUUUGAGAAAUUUUCCAUUAGAAUAUAUCUCUAUUUUUCCUCUCAAUCACAACUCCUAAGAAACACAAAUUGGUGAGAAUCAUGUUGGAAUUUCUUCUUCCAAUAUCAAAGUUCUUUCAACGUUUAAGAGGUAUAUUGGAACAUUCCUUACUCUCAUUUUUGGAUGUUGUACUGUUAUCGAAUUCAAAUUUCUCUAAAACUAUUUAGGUUUUAAAGGAAAUUCUUCAAUCUUAUCAAUGAACUUGAAUGGUUUAAUAGUUUUUGGACGUGUAAAGAUAACUCUCAGUUUCAUGUUCUUCCUUUCUGAAUUUUGUGAGUUUCAACGAGCCUAGGGAUUUGAUGUACGAAUCAUAGAUGUUUUUGGUAAUAACUGUGAAAGAUUUACGAUCCACAAAGUCAAGCGAUUACACCUAGAGAACACCCCAUUAUUUAAAAGAAGUGAGAGAGAACUAAUUACAUAAUCUGUUGAUCAAAGAUGACCUCUCCUAGUUUUUUUUGAAUUUCCAAACAUAUCUACUCUUUCUUUAACUUCAUUGCGAGAUUGUAUAUCCAUCUAUAACAUGGUUUCUACACACGGUUCACUUUUCAGAAGUCCUUAUCUCAUACACCAGUGUCGCAGCCUUGAAGCUGCAAUAUGCUUCAUUACUUUCUUUUCCAACUGCAUAAUUACUAAACAACAACCAGUACAGACUACUCCUUCUCCCGCUGUAACGUUCAGACAACAACAAAAAAAAGAACAUACUGUUACAUUGCUAAUUCAAAUAUAUCCUACUCUAUUAUUAAGUAAAUAUAUUACACAGUAUGGAAGAGCAGCAUUCUCUUUAAGGUAUUCUCUUUAAGCCGUUCAAGGAAGCGUGCCAUUCGGCCACUACUCUAUCUCUAUAAACACCAAUAACAAUUUCUUGGCAGACUCUGUCACAGUGGAAAUGACCAGCCUGUAAAUUGAUAUUUUUCCUCACCAUAUGACAACAUACGCCACCAUCAUAAACCCGCAGCAAACUACUGCACCUCUGCUGCAUUAUCUUAGCCCAAUCUUCCAUGUCAAAAUGUCAAAAUCUCAGCUAUGCCAUCAUGUGAACGUUUCUAUUAAAGUUAUAAGAUAUAAUUUAUGAAACUCUUAAAAGUAUAAUUCUUGUUCCAUAAUCCAUAAGAAGAUAACCUUCCCGCAACAUUCGUAAAACUCUUUGCACUGUGAUGUAUACGUUAUGAAUUUGCAAGUCUUAAUAUAAUAAUACCUACUUCCCGGGAAUCCCUCAUUGACCUAAUAGAUAAUAAUAUGAACAUGAAUAUUCUUACAAGAAUGCUUCCAAUCAUGUGCAUGAAUUAUAUCAUAACGAACCAUGAAAUUACCUAUCAUGACUCUCCAAUAUUGAUAGUGUUAACUCAUGAAUAUGAACCUAUUACUGUUAACUCUCAGUAUGAGCCCAAAGUGGCUAUACAUAAUUAUGAGCUUAAAAAAGGUAAACCACAAGCAUGAGCCUAAAAAGGCUAAAAUAUUAACAUGAACGUAACAAGACGA
rnacentral:lncRNA from 1 species